AGCCUUGUAGCCACCCAACCUCUUAUAUACUGAUUGGAAUCAGCAUGUUCAGACAACCAUUCAUCCUGGGUAUUCCUAAUCCUCAGAGAACUUCUUGACUCUGAGGGCUACUUUUACCAAGACUAUGACACACCUUGUAGCAAGAGAGUCCCAGAAGUUCCUCAGAUUGCCCAGAGCUUUGAGAGGGAACACAGGAUGUCUCUGAGAACCAAAAAUGCUAAAGUAGGAAUGAGCCAUGGAGAGACCCAGGACCUGCUUGGCCAAGACUUUUGAUUGCUCUCAGAAUUCUCUCCAAGAGGACAAUGCCACUUAGAGACACACAUCAUGUGUAAACUGAAUUCUGGGCCAGCCACAUGGUGUCUGCAGAUGCAGAGAGAGGCGGACAAUUCUCAUACCAGGAAUUCCUCCACUGUCCUUCCAGUGUGAAUAACAGGACUCUUCCCUUCCUUCCCCUCAGGCAGAGAACCUGAGGCUCCAUUCUUGACUGCCAACUGCCCACGCAGGCCUGACAGCAAUUUGUAACUCAGCUUAUACAGGCUCUCCUACUGUCUGCAUUUUUGUUUGUAAAAUGAGCAAUUUGCUCUUGGUUGCUUGGCUUCUCUGUGAAGUCAGCCGCAAGGGCAGCUCACCAAGCAGGACAGCUGGUCAGUGAAAGCAAACGUCGGACCCUCCAGCACAUUGCCCGCGCCUCGCCCCUGCCUGGAUCCUGUAAAUAGUUUUGUUACAAGGAGCUGCUCUCAGAGGCCAAGCGCCAGUUCUCCAUGUGUGGUAUCAUAUUUGCAGCAACAGAUAAAUCAACCCAGAAGGAAGAAGCUUUUGAUGGGAUGUUUGGGAGGUCUGGGUAAAUUCAGUGCUCUUCUGAGCAGCCACUUUCUUUUAAGAGAUGAAGCAUGGGAGUGGGGAAAAAGAGAUGGCAAAAAUGUCCUAGCUCCCACUCCAGGGAUAAAACAAACUAAUACAUUCAUCAAGUGAUAAAGACAUGGUGAGGAAAUCAAAAACCACAGCUAAUGCUUACUGCCUCAACGGCUGCGACAUUAUCUCACCACUCCUCUAGAACAUAUGUUCGACAGCAGCGUGAAGAUUUGGGGUCUCAACUGUGCUCUGAACACGGAAGGGAAGAGGCAAGAAAAAUUGCUUGGUAAGGACCCACAUGACGAGUCCACCAGAAAUCCUGAGACCUGUCUUCCCCUCACACCUCCCUCCCACUGCCGUCAUCACCAUCUCUACCAUAUGCACACUUUUGUCAUCAAGAACCGUCAAGAA
rnacentral:lncRNA from 1 species